GAAUUACUCCCUCCGUCCGGAAAUACUUGUCCUCAAAAUGGAUAAAAUGAAUGUAUCUAUAACUAAAAUAAGUCUAGAUACAACCAUUUCGAGGACAAGUAUUUUCGGAUGGAGGGAGUAUUUC
rnacentral:pre_miRNA from 1 species